rnacentral:rRNA from 1 species
CCUACGGGAGGCAGCAGUGAGGAAUAUUGGUCAAUGGACGCAAGACUGAACCAGCCAAGUAGCGUGCAGGAUGACGGCCCUAUGGGUUGUACACUGCUUUUAUGCGGGGAUAAAAUGAGUCACGUGUGCCUUAUUGCAGGUACCGCAUGAAUAAGGACCGGCUAAUUCCGUGCCAGCAGCCGCGGUAAUACGGAAGGUCCGGGCGUUAUCCGGAUUGAUUGGGGUUAAAGGGUGCGUAGGCCGCCCGUUAAGCGUGUCGUGAAAUGCCGGGGCUCAACCGUCGCACUGCGGCGGGAACUGGGUGGCUUGAGUGCGCGGGAGGUAUGCGGAAUUCGUGGUGUAGCGGUGAAAUGCUUAGAUAUCACGCAGAACUCCGAUUGCGAAGGCAGCAUAC